GAUGAACGCUGGCGGCGUGCCUAAUACAUGCAAGUCGAGCGAACGGACGAGAAGCUUGCUUCUCUGAUGUUAGCGGCGGACGGGAGAGUAACACGUGGAUAACCUACCUAUAAGACUGGGAUAACUUCGGGAAACCGGAGCUAAUACCGGAUAAUAUUUUGAACCGCACGGUUCAAAAGUGAAAGACGGUCUUGCUGUCACUUACACAUGGAUCCGCGCUGCAUUAGCUAGUUGGUAAGGUAACGGCUUACCAAGGCAACGAUGCAUAGCCGACCUGAGAGGGUGAUCGGCCACACUGGAACUGAGACACGGUCCAGACUCCUACGGGAGGCAGCAGUAGGGAAUCUUCCGCGAUGCGCGAAAGCCUGACGUAGCAACGCCGCGUGAGUGAUGAAGGUCUUCGGAUCGUAGAACUCUGUUAUUAGGGAAGAACAUAUGUGUAAGUAACUGUGCACAUCUUGACGGUACCUAACCAGAAAGCCCCGGCUAACUACGUG
rnacentral:rRNA from 1 species